AUUGAACGCUGGCGGCAUGCCUUACACAUGCAAGUCGAACGGCAGCACGGGAGCAAUCCUGGUGGCGAGUGGCGAACGGGUGAGUAAUAUAUCGGAACGUGCCCAGUCGUGGGGGAUAACGUAGCGAAAGCUACGCUAAUACCGCAUACGAUCUACGGAUGAAAGCGGGGGAUCGCAAGACCUCGCGCGAUUGGAGCGGCCGAUAUCAGAUUAGGUAGUUGGUGAGGUAAAGGCUCACCAAGCCGACGAUCUGUAGCUGGUCUGAGAGGACGACCAGCCACACUGGGACUGAGACACGGCCCAGACUCCUACGGGAGGCAGCAGUGGGGAAUUUUUCCGCAAUGGGCGAAAGCCUGACGGAGCAAUACCGCGUGAGGGAAGAAUGCCUAUGGGUUGUUAAACCUCUUUUUUUCUAGGGAGGGAAUCAAAUAGACGUGUACC
rnacentral:rRNA from 1 species